AGUGACAGUAAUGCUCACAAUAAGGGCGACACACAGGUACUUGUUACUUGAUCUAGCCCCUGGGAAGGUCUGAGACGAAGGUCGAACAAUCCUCUAGCAGGGGACUUCAGAAAACUGGGGGUGAUGCACCAGAAACAUGGCUGAGUAGAAUUCGAUUCAGGCAAGUGAAACUGAUAGUUGAUGCUCUGGGUUCUACAUGGUUGGAAAUCAUCAUGGCUGGCAACAAUAAGUUCAAUUUGUGAGGUGAUACGGGUAUAUCAUAACUCAAUUCAGACUACUCUACUGACACU
rnacentral:RNase_P_RNA from 1 species